GUCGUGAUUCAGUGACCGUCGUGAACGUGCCCGAUUCUCGUCCGGUUUCGGAAGCUAAGCAGGGUUUGAGGCUGCUUCGUACGUGGACGGGAUACCCCUGGGGGAUAGCAGGUAUUGUCGGCU
rnacentral:rRNA from 1 species